ACCCCCUCAUUCCCCUUUUUUUUCACCACCACCGGGAACGUCCCCUUCCUCUCCACCAACGCCGGGAACGGUGCCUUCCUUUCCACCACCAACACACUCUUCUCCGCCUGCGCAUCCAACACCUCCAUCUACAACUCCAACACCUCCUGUUGUAUCGCCACCCUCACAUACUCCAAUGCCACCGUCUCAUUCACUAUAUCCACCCCCACCGACAGGUCCUCAUUAUGGCCGCCAAUCACCGCCACCACCAUCUGAAUCUCCACCUUCUAUAGGACCUCCUCCGUCACUGUCACCACCACCUUGUGAAGAGCAUCCAUCCCCACCCGGACCACCAUCUUCUUCCACACCAACACCACCAGUACAUGUAUCUCCAC
rnacentral:lncRNA from 1 species